GGACAGAAUAAUAGGAUGAUCCUGGAUGGCCUGAUUACUGGGCCAUCAUGGAAACAAUUAGCCGGGUUUGAGGAUAUCUCUCUUGGAGCUGGAGAGGAGAGGUUGGCCGUCUCUCUCCUCCAGCAGCCGCCGGGUUUCUCUGCAGCCUCCCGCCGCUUCAUCAUGGAUCUGCGGACUAAAAGAGUCGCCGGGAUUAUCGCUCAGGUCGCCCUGCUUCUCUCCAGCUCGUACGGGACAACCGGAGAAGAGGUGUGUGACAGCGCGCUUGUGUCCAAUCUGCCGCCAUCGUCCUUCAGAAGCUCCUCCCAGCUGUCCAGCAUUCACGCUCCGGGCUUCGCCAAACUCAAUAGGAGAGAAGGAGCUGGAGGUUGGUCUCCUCUCACCUCAGACAGGUAUCAGUGGUUGGAGGUCGACCUGGGUGAGCGGACCAAAAUCACAGCUGUCGCUACUCAGGGCCGCUACGGCAGCUCUGAUUGGCUGACGUCGUACCUGCUGAUGUUCAGUGACACGGGACACAACUGGAAACAAUACAGACAGGAGGACAGUAUAGGGUCUUUUCCAGGUAACAGUAAUGCAGACAGUGUGGUUAAGUACAAACUGCAGCAGCCGGCGAUCGCUCGCUUCCUCCGCCUCAUUCCUCUGGACUGGAACCCCAGCGGGAGGAUCGGACUCCGGCUGGAGACCUACGGAUGUCCUUACACCUCUGAUGUGGUGAGUUUGGACGGUGGCAGCAGUCUGGUGUACAGGUUGAGUCCCAGGCUGAGGCGUGCGUCCAGAGAUGUCGUAUCUCUGAAAUUUAAAACCCUGAAGAAUUCUGGGACACUGCUGCACGCAGAGGGAGAGGGAGGACUCAGCCUCAGUCUGGAGUUAGAGAGAGGAAAGCUACAGCUGCUGCUCAGACAAGGUAGGACUUCAUCCUCCGAACCCCGGCGUCUCACUUCUUCUGGCAGCCUGUUAGAUGAUCAGCAUUGGCACCAUUUAGCAGUGGAGCGACGCAGCUCUCACCUCAACCUCACAGUGGACAAACACACCGAGAGGGUUCAAAUUCCUGCAGAGUUCAGCCACUGGGACAUCGAGCAGCUGAGUGUAGGGGCAGUCCAGGACAAGAGGAACUUUCAUGGCUGCCUGGAAAACCUGCUGUACAAUGGCUUCAACCUGAUAGAAUUGGCUAAACACAAUGACCACCAAGUCACUGUAGUGGGCAAUGUGACCUUUUCUUGUGCUGAGCCAGUUUCCGUCGCCGUGACGUUCCCUGGCCCCCAGAGCUUCCUCCAGUUGCCGGGGACGAUAGCGUCCUCCUCGGGGGGCGUGUCUGUGGGGUUCCAGUUCAGGACGUGGAACGAGGCGGGGCUUCUGCUCACCUUUGACCUCCCUCAGGAAGGGGGCGUGGUCUGGCUGCACCUGAGUGAGGCCAGACUCCGGCUACAGAUCCAUAAAGCUGGCAGGGCGCUGCUGGAGCUCAGUGCAGGUUCUGCUCUGAAUGAUGGUCAGUGGCAUUCAGUGGAGCUGAGCUCCAGACGAGGCCGUCUGACCAUUGCAGUAGAUAAAGAAGAAGGAGUCAUCGCUCAUGCCAGCUCCUCCGUUACCGUAGGAGGUCAACUCUUCUUUGGUGGUUGUCCUGCUGAAGAGGACAGUCAGGAAUGUAAAAAUCCCUUCAACAUCUUUCAGGGCUGCAUGCGUCUCCUCAGCGUGGAGAACCAGCCAGUGGACCUGAUUAUGGUGCAGCAAAGACUGCUGGGAAAUUACAGCCACCUGCAGAUCGACAUGUGUGGCAUCAUUGACAGGUGCUCUCCCAGUCGUUGUGAACAUGGCGGCCUCUGCAGUCAGUCCUGGACUGUCUUCCACUGUAACUGCUCUGACAGCGGCUACAGCGGAGCGACCUGCCACAGCUCUGUGUACGAACAGUCCUGCGAGGCGUACAAACACAACGGCAACUCAUCGGGACAUUUUUAUAUCGACGUGGACGGCAGCGGACCAAUCAAACCGCAGCUUGUCUACUGCAACAUGACAGAGGAGAACACAUGGAUGGUGAUCCAGCACAACAACACAGAGCUCACAAGAGCCCGACCAUCUCCAGGUCUAAACCAGCAUUUAGUCCACUUUGACUACUCAUCUGAAGAGGAGCAGCUAUUGGCUGCCAUCGGCCAAUCAGAGCACUGUGAACAGGAACUGUCCUACCAGUGCAGGAAGUCCCGCCUUCUCAACACUCCAGACGGCUCUCCGUUCAGCUGGUGGCUCGGUGGUCCCGGUCCCGGCCGUCUCCAGGCUUAUUGGGGCGGAGCUCAGCCAGGCAGCCAGCAGUGUGCGUGCGGCCUGCAGGGAGACUGUGUGGACCCACAACACUACUGCAACUGUGACGCCGACCGCAUGGAGUGGGCUGAAGACUCUGGCCUGCUCACCCAUAAGGAGAGCCUCCCUGUCAGGUCUCUGGUGCUGGGUGACAUCCAGAGGCCGGGGUCAGCGGCUGCGUACAGGGUGGGACCGCUCCGUUGUCAUGGAGACAAGAACUUCUGGAACGCUGCGUUUUUUGACAAGGAGACGUCGUACCUCCACUUUCCCACCUUCCACGGAGAGCUGAGCGCAGAUAUCUCCUUCUUAUUUAAAACCACGGCCUCCUCUGGUGUGUUCCUGGAAAACUUGGGCAUCAAAGAUUUUAUCCGGAUCGAACUGAGCUCCUCCACUCAGGUGGUUUUCUCUUUCGAUGUGGGUAACGGGCCGCUGGAGGUUCGCGUGGAGUCGAGCGUGCCGCUGAAUGACAACCGGUGGCAUCGAGUCCGAGCCGAGCGGAACGUCAAGGAGGCAUUGCUUCGAUUGGAUGAACUUCCUGCCGCCACGCAGGAGGCUCCUGCUGACGGACACUUCCACCUGCAGCUCAACAGCCAGCUGUUCAUAGGAGGCACAGCGUCCAGGCAGAAGGGCUUUCGGGGCUGUAUUCGCUCCCUGCAGCUGAACGGCGUCACCCUGGACUUGGAGGAGAGGGCGAGGAUCACACCCGGGGUUCGACCCAGCUGCCCGGGUCACUGCAGCAGCUACGGCUCGUUCUGCCAGAACCAGGGCCGCUGCGUGGAGAGAGCCAGCGGCUUCCACUGUGACUGCGGCCUGUCAGCAUACACUGGAGUCUUCUGCCAUACAGAGGUGUCGGCCAGCUUCAAGUCGGGGACGUCUAUCAGCUACACCUUCAAGGAGCCGUACGAGUUGAGCAGGAACAGCAGCGCUUUGCCGUCCUCCAUCUACUCUGACAUGACGCUGAGAGGAGAGAACGUCUCCCUGAGCUUCAGGACGAACCAAAGUCCGGCUGUGCUGUUCUACGUCAGCUCUUACUACAGAGAGUACCUGGCCCUGCUCAUCAACCAGCACGAUAUACUGGAGGUGAGAUACAAGCUGGACAGCGGCAGAGAUGUUGAAGUGUUGAGAAGCAGAGUGAGGAGCCUGGCCAACGGACAGCUACACACUGUUACAAUCAGGAGACUGACAGACUCUGUGUCUGUGCAGAUCGACCAAAACACCAGAGAAGAAUUUAAUCUGACAUCUGACGGAGAAUUCAGCGCCAUCAAGUCGUUGGAGUUGGGCAGAGUGCACGAGUCUGAUGAGAUGGAUCCAGACCUGGCCAGGUUGGCGUCUCUCGGUUUUACCGGUUGCCUCUCAGUGGUUCACUUCAACUCCAUCAGUCCUCUGAAAGCUGCUCUGCUCCACCCAGACACCAGCCCUGUCAUCAUCACCGGACCUUUAGUCCAGUCCAACUGUGGGUCCUUGGCUUCGGCCAAUCCCUACGCUGCAGAGAACACACGUAACCUGUCAGACCAGUCUGGUUCAGUGGGUUCAGGUCAACCUUUAGUCAAUGCCAUCAGGACUGACUCGGCUCUGAUUGGAGGUGUCAUAGCAGUGGUGAUCUUUGUGAUUGUGACUGGCCUGGCGAUAACUGCCAGAUUCCUCUACCGGAGAAAAGAGACAUAUCGAAACCAGGAAGUGAAGGGAGUCAAACAGGAGGACAGUCAAGAUUUCCCUUACAACAACCAGGCUGACUCCCAGAAUGUCUCUGAUGAAAACCCAAAGGAGUAUUUCAUUUAACUGGAGGCCUGAUGACCUGAUGAACUGGUGGGUUUUUUGAGCGGAGGUCGCAGACGGGGGUGUCCUGCCACUCCUCAGGACUUUACACUGCACUCAGAGCCACUCAGACACUUUGCUGGAGGCUCUGGCUCCACAGAAUAUGGAAAGUAAAAAAGGACGAGUGUGCACAGUUUUGUCUUUCACUGUAAAUAAUCUACAUACUGAUACAAACAGGCAACAUGCUGGACUUGGUAGAAGGUGUUGAUAUCCUUGUUUCAAAAACUGUAAAUAUUCAAAAAUGUAAAUGUGGAAGUAAUGUCUACAGCAAUCUCUAACUAUGUCACUCUGUCAUAUUGAAAGGUUGCAAAUAAGGGAAACUGAUUUUUGUUGAUUUAGAGUAUUCAAACACAUCAAGGUGUUUGGAAUCGUGACUGGAGUCAUUUGGCUGAUGCCUUUUUCUAUGAGGAUAAUGGAUGGAUGUUUGCUUAACCUGAAAUUGAAAUGUUUGACCUGUAAUUAGGUCCUCAGGAAGAGUACUUCUGUAAGAGUUUGUGUUUGGUGGUUUGUUCAUGUGUAAAUCCUUUUUGUUGUGAGCAGUGCUUUAGGGGAGUAACAACAUGCACUCUUUAGAGGCUGUACAGCCUCAAAGCCCGUUUAAGGGAAACCUGUGGGAGCUUGUACACUUGGAAAAUUUGCCAGCAUUGUCCAAGUCCUUGCAGCCUGUAUACAUCCACCAAAUACCAGGACAUUGUUUGAUGAUUUUCUAACUCUGGUCAGCACAUGAAUUAAACAUUUUCAUGAGUGAUUUUCUUCCAGCAACAACGUGCUACCACAGAAUUUUGGCGUUAACAAGUGGCAUCUUCAAAGUGAACAUAGUUUUUCUCACUCCAAUCACGCACAUUGCCAUGAGCACAUAGGGCAUUUGUACUGUUUGAGAAAUGGUACGCGUGCAGUCCGGCAGCUACUGGUCGAGAGACAUGGAGACAUUUUAUACAGUAGGGAUUAAUUUUCCAAUUUAUUUUCACUUCUUUAUUUUUCUUUUACUUAGUUCUUUCUUUUCUCUUGUUGGUUCUUUCCAUUUUAACAAAUGCAGGGAACAACAAUACAUCCAUGAGCAUUGAACGUUUUUAGUUUCCUAUAGUUUGCAAGCUUUUCAUAAAAGACUUGUACUGGUUGUUCACUCUAUUAUAAAAGUUUUCUCCUCCCAGCUGCACGCCGCCUGCUGGGAACUUCCUCUCCCAGCUCUCUAAAUGUCUCUGAACAGUAAAGCUUUUAACUUUGACAGCAGCAUAGACUCUACAACACUGUGGCUGUCUGUCACCUUGUUCACUGCACGCAGAGACAGUUAAUGUGUUUUUGAAAUGCUAAUCUGCUUCUGUCUGACAGGUGGAUUGUGACUCGAUGGAAAGCAGAGAGAUGAGCAGAAUGAGACAGAAAGAUAAUCCGAGAGGCUGAGUCAAGCAGACAUGGAUGUAAUGAAAACAGCCUGAUAUUAACACUUGAAAAUGAAGCAAAUCCCCCCAUGUGUUAAUUCAGCUCAUGUGUAAAGAGUGCUGCUGAUAGAGGGAGGAUGAGAAGCAGAAAGAGGAUCGACAGCAGCUGUUUAUCAAACACACACCACCCUGUCUCUCUCCGAGUCCCCAAACCACAGAUGGGAUUUUAAUGACAAAAGUUGCUAAAACUUCAAAGUGCAUUAUUCAUCUCUUUGUUUGUGUUUUCUUUUUUUCCCCAUCUCACAACAGCUAAGGCCACAUAUUGUUGUCUUUGCCACAUCCUUGAUUCCAGAGAGUUCAUUCUUUGGAUGAAGAAAACGUAGUGACUGUCCUUCAUCCUGCAGCAAAACUGACUGCAGUUCAGCACUUGAUUGCUGAGAGGAACUCAACAGGACUUUACAACGCUCUGGAGUUAUUGGAAAUGUUUGGAUCACAUGGAAACUGUUCAGCCUUGAUGUUUCGCCCUGUCAUCCUCCAUCAGCUGUGCCGCUCUCCAUCACAUGAUGCAGAUGAUGGUGUUGUUUACCCUGCAGGAGGAAGUCGAACCAUCAUCAUCAGCAGCUCCUCACAGAGUAAACAAGAGGAACCCACAGGAUUCCUACUGACACCUGCUCACUCGUUGCUCCCGCAGAGUGUCAUGGCUGCCUCUUCCCAGAAGGCCACUGGCUCACAGCUACCAUGUCAACUCCCUGACCACCCACGACUCUGUCUGCACGCCUCGGCCUGGCCCCAGAGGCUCAUGGGUAAUCUUUCAUCCAGUGUCUGCUGCAGCCGGCUGAUAGCAGGCCUUCAGUCAGAGAGGACGGAGCUCUGAUGUUUCUAUCAGCAGACAGACGAAUGAAUGAAUGAAUGAACAUCCAACUGUGUCUCUGAGCCUCUGAAACCACAUCAGCCCUCCUCCUCCUUCUCCCUCCUCCUCCUCCCUCUUUCUGUCAGCCCUUCCCUUUGUCUCGUUUUGUCUUCUUGUCUCACUCUGUGACUCCUUCCUGCUCUUAUAUAAAUUGUUGUCACUCUUUGAAUGCCUCUUAUUCCUCUAUCAUCCCCUUUGAAUUUCUCAUUGUGUGUUUCUGGAGCUGUGAAACAUUUCCAUGUGAAAACAGCAGACUCCCAUUAAUCAUUUCAGAGUUGAUCGUCCUGUUCGGGUAUCGAUGUUGAUGAUGUUUGGACUGGUGGUUGGUGUUUGGGUAGCGCGGUGCUGUCGACUUGUUUCUCCUCAAUGGGAGCUCAUCCAGAAGCUGCUGCUGAAGCUGAGAUUAGAGCUGCUGCUGUUCGACAGCCUGAAGCUGUUUGUCUGAUCAUUAGCUCACCAGAUGUUACCGCGCACACAAACCGCCCAGUCAAAACGUUUUUGAAAACUUUAUUUUUUGGCAUUUUGGUUAAAUCUCAAGAAAGUUUAGAACAUUAGAACAUAAGUGUAAGGAAUAAGAAAACCGAAAUAUCGGUGGUCCCAGGUCAACAGUAAACAUGUUAUAAGGUUAUGGUUGUUGUGGUUAAAAAUUGAAAAAGUGACUUGAAGCACGAGACACAACAUGUUUACUGUAGAAUUAACAUUUAACCUAUCUGUCUCUUGAUCUGACCUGUCCGUAUCUGCAACAUCAGCUUUUCACAAGUUUGGGUUAAGCUUGGUGACCAUUCAGUUUGGAGAUAAUCUAAUCACUUUUAGGAGAAUUGUAUUAACCCAUAAAAUGGCAUGUAAUCCUUUCACUGAUCUGAAAAAGUAAAACUCAUAACUUAAGUGUUGUGAAGACAUUUGUAAAUCUGAUUAACAGCACUGCAAAUAAACCAGUCGAAACCUGAUUGGGAGAACAGCCUUUAGCAGCCACAAACCUGAGUCAAAAACGUUUAUGCACACACAGAAAUGCACAUCCACAAACAUAUUUGGCACGCACGCAGUAUGUUUUGCAUUGUGAAUGUUAUUUCACAAAAAAAGCCUGUACUGGUGGAGUGUACUGCUGGUAAGAUGGGAAUUAAAAAAGUGGAGAAGGGAUUUUAAGUGAGGAAAGGAAGGGACUGUGGAGGAGGAGGAAGGCGAGGAAAAAAGUGGGUAAGAAGAAGAGUUGAUGUGUGAAAGUGGACGUCAGAGAGGAAGGAAGAAAGAGAAAAUUGACAGAGGAGGAGGAAGCCGGAGAAAGACUGUCAAGGUGAAAGAGGGGAAGAGUUGUCCUUUUUCCUUUGUGUAGCUCCCCAGAGGAUCUCCAUUUAUCUCUCUUCCUCUCUCUCUCCUCGCUCUGCAUCAAAUAGAGAUUCCCUGGUGAUGUUUCCACCUCCCGGUUCUCUCCAAGUCAUUUGGCAUUUAUUUUAAGCCUGAGGAGAUGCUGGAAAACCUACAACGUUCACUUUACCCUGAGCCCAGUCUGGAUGUGGCGCUGUGUCCUUCUGUCUCCAUUUGCGCCUCCUGUCAUUAUCUCUUUUCCCUCCUCCUUCCAUCCCUUAAGUACUUUUCUGGCUGUUUUCUUCUCUUUGUCAUCUCCUGUUUACGUUCAGUCCAAUCAGAGAGACCAAUCUGCAAACUUUUGCAGCAUUACGCCCACAGCCAGAUGGAUCAAUCGCUCUCUUUCAGAAACAGACUGUCCUCAGUGAAACAAACUUCCUCCGGUGUUGAGACUCACCUGUCCAUCAGGACAGACCGAAAAAAAAGCAUUUACACUCCACAAACAUGACCUUGUUAUUGCCUUUUGCCACCUGUUAGAACUACAAAUCCUGCUAUGACCUGCUGUAACCAGUGCGUUGAGUUUAAAGCAAAGUCUUUUUAGUCCGUUUCUUUCUGCUCAUUUAUUGGUUUUACUUUAGUAUUUUGGUUCAUUCUCACCACUCUCAUCAGUGUUAUUUCAGGCAGCCAGCUGUUUUCACCAAAAAACUUUAAAAACCCCACUGUACGCUACCUGCUCAGCACCACACGGCAGACAGACAAAGUUAGCUGGUGAGCAUAUUACAGCAUUUAGCGGCUAAAGAAGAUAUUGGCGGAGACCAAAACAGAGCUAUAUGACUUAUAUUUGACAGGUGGCCAAAAACAAAAUGAAUGCUCCUUAUCUCAUAAAAUGUCACUGUUGUGUUUACAGCUUGAUCCUACUGCCCCCAAGUGGCCAAAAAAAAAAGUCAAGCAGGUUUAAAUUACAGUACAUAUUUGCAAAAUUGUUACACAUUUGACUUUAUAAACUUGCACUUCUGCUGCACACUGGCCUCUUCUGUUUGUAUUCUCUAGUGAUUGUUAAGUUCUCUUCUUAACUCUCUCUCUCUCUCUGUGUGCAUAUAACAAAAAAGCUGUCAAACUUGAAUCUUUAAACCUUGAAUUUAUCCAUCUACAACUGCCUGCCCAUCCCAAUAUAACACAAGUUUAGUAUCAAGUAGAGAGAAAUUCCCUAUUCUAUCAAUCAAUCAGUAGCAACACAGUAAUUGACAUCGACAUUAACAACAUUAAUUUAUGUGGAAAUGUUGCAGAUUAUUGCUUGAGUUAUACUUGCUUCAUGGGUUUUGCUCAGGUGGAUAUUUUCUUUCAGUACAAAUCUCUUUAAAUGAUCAAAUCCCUCCAGGGCCUUUCUUUGUUAGUGGAAAGCUUCAGCAGAUCACUGAUACAGAUUACAUUUAAUUGGCUUUCCCAACAAUUAGAGAAGUCUCCCACUUCUCUAAUGCUGAUGAGAUGGUUCAAAGAAAAGACAAUGGAUUCUGUGAUAUUUUGUUGUUUUAUUUUGCUGUCUUCUCCAGUUGAAACAAUCCCACUAACUACUCCUGUUGUGUUUGCCAAAUGGAAUCAAAAGUAGAAACUUGUGUUUUCUAAAUGCGACACAGCUGAAUGUCUCAUCAGAGAACAAUGAAACAGAUUUCACAUGAAAAUAAAACAGACACAUGCUGCUAAAGGAAAUUAAGUUUCACAAGGGUCAUUUGUGUCUGGUCUCAUCUCAGUUUAGGAGGCUCACACAAACUGGUAACUGCUGGUAAUUUUGCUGUGAUCGUUACAUCCUCUCUGGGAUUUCUUCUGUGUGAAAAUUAAGUCAGUAAAUGCAAAAAUGCUUUCUGGGUGAAGAUAAACCACAUCAGAGACUCAAAACAGCCCUUCAGGAAACACAAACAAGGACAAACAGGAUCUGAUUUGGACAGUCGGGGGACAAAUUAAUCACAACAACAUGGAGGUAUCCUGCAGCGUCUCCUCUCUGCAUGACCUGCACUGACAUGGGUCAACGGACGAGAUUGUUUUGUGGUCACAAGAGAAGAAAACAGUUUGGAAACUUGAGGAGAAGCUCUGCGGCCGACAGGCAGCAAAACCAAUUAGUGUCUCUGACAGAGGUGGAAAACACAGCGACCGGUCUGCUGGAUCCACGGCUGCAGCUGCAGGUGAUUGACAGUUUAGAGGUAGAAGGAGGCAAGAGAGAGCGACAACAAAG